UGCCCCCGCCCACUCACGCAGCCAAAAAAACCACCCCCACGCACGAACCACUCCCCUCCCUCUCCUCGCGCGAGCAUCCUCUCUCCUCGGUACCCUCGCACGCGCUAGGGUUCCUGCGCCGCCGCCGGGAGCUCGUCGACCAGCCCAGCGUCCUGCUGCUCCAUGCCUCGCUUUCCUCGUCGCUCGCCUUCGGACUCCUCGCUUCCCUUAGGCGAUCCGUCGCUUGUCCGCAAGCCAAGCCGCCGCCUCUCCGCCGAGAAAGGGGGCUCCCGAUCUCCGCCGUGGUCGACCAACAGCGCGGCGAGCGGCACACCCAGCCCGUAGGCUCAUCCCCUUCUCCGAUCCACUCCGGCGGCGGCCAUCGUUGGAACGUUGCACUCGUGUCACCUCUCAUGAUUUUUUUUCUUGUUUGAUUCCCCAUGUCUCACGGGUGUGUGGUAUGCAAUCAAGGCAUCGGCUCAUCUGAUUUCCUGCUGCUGGCAUACGUAGGUUUACCGCUGGAUUCAUGCCAAAUCUACCCGCGCCCAACUCCCCUGAUGCUCUGCACCCCGUUUGUUGGGAGGUGUUGAGCUGCUGUGAAGCUUCCUAGAGAUGCCAAUCUGGGUCGUUAUCAAGCAAGCCUGUAGGAUUCAGAAAUAAUCUAUUGCAUCUUGUGCAGUGGUAUUUUUCCUUUUGUAGUUUGGGGUGACAAAUUAUUGUUUUGUAUUACAAUCUUGGUCGUUAUCAAGCAUGCCUGUCGGGAUGCAAAUAAUCAUCACAACGCUGAAUCCUCUGUUAUGUGAUUUCCAUUAUGUUUAAAUCACAAAUUUACUGAGCCUAUUUCUGUUGUUGAACGCUUGGGGUACUACUGCAUUGGUGUAACAUGUCUAAUGAUGUUUUUAUCUGCUGGACAUUGUAGGUCUUGAAGUAUGGCGCAGUUAUGACAAGGAACUGCACUCACCAAUGGAAUAGCUAGAAGUAAUCAAGCUGAUGGCCAUUGUAUCCCGGUGACUGGAGACCACGUGGUGGUGGGUCUCACUGUCGGGAGUAGCGCCGGAGUGGGUGACGAAGAUUGAUGAGGCGACAGAGGCGGGGCCUUCUUCAGUUACAAGUCACACAUGUUGUGGCUGUCAAGAUCUAUGGUGCACAUAAUCCACCUCAUGCAAUUGUUCGCCAACGUCUGUCUGAACCAGUUCAAGCAGUAUUCUUGGCCAUGACGUGGUGCCUCCCUGGACUCGCAACUUGCCGAGUGCACCGCGCUGCAAUACCCAGAGGUGCAUCCGCGCCGGCGGCAAGCACAACGACCCCGAUGACAUGUGAGCCGCCGGGGCGAGGAGCCUACCUCCGCACCACUGCCUAAGGCGAGGUGCUCCCCAGAACUGCUGCUCCAUUACGCUCCUCUCUUGAGGUAUUUGUUCUCCGGCUUGAGAAUUAUUGUUCAGCUCCUGCACAUAGUUCUCUGUUUGUUCCAUUGACAGUCAGCUUAUAUUGAUGGUCACUUUUAAAACUUGGACUGCGAGCAUUCCAAAACAUCACACGAAAGAUGGGUAUAAUAACCACAAAUGGAUAAACAGUAAAGUUUGAUUUGAUGCUAUAACGCUUGACCUCGCCGCUGGACAACAUCUUGCCGGACCUCCCACCGUAGACCUCCAUCUUCUCUGCCGAUGCAGGGGCACCGUCCCAUAUGUCCCCACCCAAGAGGGCUCUAACCCUCUCGACAACAAUGCACAAUGCAGUUGCAGGCGCAGACGCCAGAUUCGCUCAGCCGCGGAAGCCGCUGUCCCAUACCGAAGAUGUGCAGGCAUGUUUUGGAUUAUGAUUGUGCAAAGGCAUAUGGCAGACAAUUGUGGUCUGCAAUUUUUUUUACCAAAAUACUGAACUUGUUCUGAUUUUACCAGAAUACUAAUGUGAACAUUCAUGCAAUUGCAGAAUUUUUUGAAAAGGAAAGCUUUAGGCCGAAAGUUCUUCCAUUAACAUUCUGCAUGUGCUGCUAUAGAUUGGUCCUUGCAGCUGAUGAAGGCAACAACCAUUGGAAGCACAAAAUUGUGGAGCUUAAGAUUCCCCACCCUUAUUUCUGAAGGAAAGCUAAAGUUCGGGGUGCUACUCUCCGAGGAUUUACUCAAUGGAGGGUUUAUUUAACACUACAAGCCUUUUAAGUUGUUAUAUGGUAAUAUGGUGAUAGGUUGGAAUGUUUGAUCACCGAGGAAUGUAGAUUACUAUCACAGGAUAUUUUUCCUCUUGAUGGUGCUUCCACUGAACGUUAUGCACCCCUGUACAACCAUAUAUCUAAGUUUGCAUGUUCAUUCAGAAGAUUAUAUUGACUAUUCAAUUCACUGUUCGACCUUUGAAUAUAGAGUUCCGGCUCAGUAGUUUGGAUCUUGAUAGACAUCUAGACCUGUAGCUGUGUUUUAUUUUCUUAUCCUUUUUAGAAACUUACACGCCAACUUGGUGGAUUAAACCGGUGUUCUAAUUAAAUGCUAAAUUGAGUAUAAACAUCUUCUUUUACUGUUAUAUGACAAAAUGAAUGAAUAUGUGAUUGCUAUCCAGAUUAGUUAGGCCAUCUUGCAAAUAACCAUGCGAUACAUUACUGAUAUUUUCUUGGGAUGGCCAAAUAGACAUGCAUUCUUUGCUAGGUUAAGUUUUGUUAUCCUUUGUACUUAUUUUCUCAAUCUUUGUAGUGAAAUAGUACAAGAUGAGGAACUGGCUGAACUUCAGAGUUUCAGUUAAGUGCACAGUUAAAGAAAAAUUGUAACAACUCGGAUGCAGCUCAGAGGUCAAAUAUCAUGAUGCAGAGUAGGCACUAAACCUAAUGUAUCUACUUGAUUUUGUUAUUGCAGAUUAACUGUUUAUCUUAUCUGUACACAGCUGAUUAGGAAGUAUAGUAGUACCCGUGCGUUUAAUAGUUGUUAGAUUGUUUUUGUGCAUAGUUGAACUGUGUAUUGAGACGGGAAGCCAAGUUGUAUAAUUUGCGGAUUCCAUUUGUCAGACUGGUGGCAUUCCUUAAUUUUUUAUCCCUGAUUAUGAUUUGGUUCUGAUUAUAUUGUCCCAUGGAAAGAGCAUUAGAAUACGACAAGCAAACAGGCCUUUCGACAUUCAUGGUGUAUAUUUUGUUUCACCGAGCCGUGUUGCUUAUGAUUUUGAAUUCAAACGGAUCUGCGGCUUCUGUUCACUAAAGAAAUAAAUGCAUGGAUAGACAAGGUAUGCUCUAAGCCGUUUUUUCCUUAGAUGAAAGGAAGGGUUAGUAGUUCUUGUAACUUUCUUUUCUUUUCUUGGUAUUCAAACAAGAACAAAUCACUGUUGAUGUUUAAACUCUCUAGAAUCUCAUAAAUUCUGUUAUUCCUCUUAAACUUCUGAUACAAAAUUGGAUUUGUAAAUUAUUUAUUCUGGCACAACCAAUUGCUGCUUCUUCUGCCUAGCUUGCUUUCGAUGAAGUAUUCCUGGUCAAUAGACUGCACUUGCUUAUUCCAAGCACAUACAAGCCUAAGGAUGUCUUGUAAGAAAAGCUUUAACGAAAUCACUUUGGUUUGUAAAUGUCCUUGAGGAUUGAAUUAAUAGAAACUAGCAAUUCUUCUGCCUAAACUGAUUCUUGCAAAUUUUCUUGCCGAACUACUACAUGGUAGUUUUAAAGUAAAUACCAUUUUUGUUAUCUGCUAUGUGGUUGCAGCACAAUAUACCCUUAAUAAUAUUUCUUUUGGAUGUCUACACCAGAGCAACCAAUUAAGAAAAACCUAGGAUCGGUUAGAGACACAGGUUUUGCAUAUUUCACAAAAGCAAAACAUAAUUUCUUUGUUGCCUCUUCUAUCGUGAACUUCUGUUGGCUAUGACUAAAGAGUGUGCACUUUAUUCAGUCCUUUUCCACCAACCAAGUUUCCAAGGAAACACAUGAAAACCUUAUUACAAGUUUAUAACUAAGAAUACAAUGUUUCUGCUCUCAAUUGCUUUUGGAGAAUUGACUCCAUUAUGUCUUGCCAUGGAUAAAAUAGUUAUGCUGAACCAUGAUGUCGUCAUACGAACAACAUAGUUUUGAGAGCCAGGUAAUGUAUACUUCCUAGAUGUUCAGUCAUUUUUUGUAACUUACCUAUAGACCUCAGUAGUUUACUUGUUUGUAACUUUGCUCACAUACUUCAGUAGUUUAGUGUGAGAAACUAAAGAGGUAUGUAGAGAAGUAUUGGGUUAGUGCUUCCGAUGACAUUUGAAAUAAGUAAAUAAACACACGAGGUUUGAAUUUUAUUUUUACUUCUCCAAAGUAUGUGGUCCAUGCUGAUGGGCUCAGAGAUAAUAUGAUUGAUGCUACAUUCUUUCUUUGUCCAUAGAUAUAGGUUUGUACACAUUGCUGGUCCUGUUAUUUUGUUUGAAUCUGACUGUUCUGCGUAAUCGGUCUCUUUGUCCAUAGAUCCGGGUGCCACGGUCGAGGCUGGGUGGAGGAGCAUGUAGGGGUUGCUUGGUUGUGGAGGAGGGGAAGGGAGUACAGGAUGGCGCCGUUUUGGAUGGUAGGAGGAUAAAUCACGGGCGGAUGGAGGUCUAGGGAGCACGGGGCGGCAGCUUCACCCUUGCCACCGUACGGGAAGGGGGACGGAGCCGGAGCUCUCCAUGCGGCUUCUUGAGUGUGGCUGGAGCACGGGCGUCACAACGGGGGAUUGGGUGGAGCACGUCCAGGCGUCGAUACAAGGGAGGUGGGGGCGGGGCGUUGCAAGCCGUUUGUGGGCGCUAAAUGAGAAGAGGAGGAGCAACGCUGGGUGGUGAGGUAGAAAAGGAGGAGUGGUGUGUAUAGAAGAGAAGGGACACUGGGCGAUGAGAUAUCUCUGUGGGGAUUGGGUGCUGUUGCUACAGCUUUUUUUGUGAAUGAGAUGUGGUUGUACCAAGAUGGCCUGAGCAGGGGAGUAGAAGCUCGCUGAUGAUUACAAAUCUUCUAGAAAAGAUUAUAUAUCUGCUGGCAUUUGAAUAAAAUAAACAUGCAUGGACUCUCAAAAGUUUGAUUCA